rnacentral:rRNA from 1 species
UCUACGGAGCAGCAGAGGAUCUAUGGAUGCAGCAGUCGUAUAUACACAGUCGCGCAGCAUGAUCCAGCCACGCUGCGUGAGUGAUGAAGCAGUAGAUGUAUAGCUCGUCACACGCGCGAUAAUGACGUACUUCAGAGCGCACAGCUACUACG